UAGAUAAUACCAGUUCUUUCCGCCGGACCGGUAUCGUGGCUCAAUUAGAUUAUAACCGUACCUUUGGAAAACAUGGAGUUUCGGCUUUAGCUUUCUAUGAACAAUAUGAAAGCAAUGAUGAAAUGGUAUUGCCAACCCGAUUCCAAAGCGUAAAUGGUUGGUUCGGCUUUAAUUAUGAUAAAAAAUAUG
rnacentral:misc_RNA from 1 species